rnacentral:tRNA from 1 species
UGGGGAUUCGCCAAGCGGUAAGGCAACGGACUUUGACUCCGUCAUUCCCAGGUUCGAAUCCUGGAUCCCCAGCCA